AUUGAACGCUGGCGGCAUGCCUUACACAUGCAAGUCGAACGGUAACGGGUCUUCGGAUGCUGACGAGUGGCGAACGGGUGAGUAAUACAUCGGAACGUGCCUAGUAGUGGGGGAUAACUACUCGAAAGAGUGGCUGAUACCGCAUGAGAUCUACGGAUGAAAGCAGGGGAUCGCAAGACCUUGUGCUACUAGAGCGGCCGAUGGCAGAUUAGGUAGUUGGUGGGAUAAAAGCUUACCAAGCCGACGAUCUGUAGCUGGUCUGAGAGGACGAUCAGCCACACUGGGACUGAGACACGGCCCAGACUCCUACGGGAGGCAGCAGUGGGGAAUUUUGGACAAUGGGCGCAAGCCUGAUCCAGCAAUGCCGCGUGCAGGAUGAAGGCCUUCGGGUUGUAAACUGCUUUUGUACGGAACGAAAAGCCUUGGGUUAAUACCCUGGGGUCAUGACGGUACCGUAAGAAUAAGCACCGGCUAACUACGUGCCAGCCGCCGCGGUAACAC
rnacentral:rRNA from 1 species